GGAGGCCAGCGCCGCAGGGCCACAGGACGACGCCUCCAAAGAAAGAUGUCUCUCUGUGGCUGAGGAGGAGCAUCCAGAGUCCAUGACGCUGGAUAACCUUCUAGAAAAACAGGCAAGAACUUCUCACUUUAGCCACGGGAGUUCGGAUAUAAACCAUCUGUGUUUGUGGAGAUCGACCUGGGCGACCAUACUGAGGAGGAGGUCAUCACCUGUGCCAUUAAAGAAGAGAAGAGGCCCCCCCAUGACACAGGGUACUUGUCUGAAGAUGAGAUAAGGACCAGCUGGGUGUGUUGCCUUCCUUACCACACAAAGAAGAAGACAAAGGAAAACAGCAGUGCUUCAGAGAAGGGCCAGAGUGACAGCAGCCAACGGAUACUCAAGGCAAGGGACCCUCUUCCAAUCCAAGUCCAAUCACAGCCCUAGGAACCAACUCUACAGGACCAACAGGCACUCCCGCUUCCUGGCUAUCACAGGACUUAAGCGCCAGCUAAUUGUUCACUAAAGGGAACAACACAAUAUGAACGCAUCGCUGGAGUUACAAUGUCGUAUAUAGACAACUUUCAGGCCGCAGCUGGAGAGGAGAGGGGACAAGGUCACCUCAGAACUGGUUCUUCCCACACCCACAUCCUUACACCUCAGGCCCUGGGCCACAACUCUCCUUAGUACCUCUAUCUGGAAGUCUAGUUCUCUAAGGAUGCUUGGGGAGGUGAACUCCCCAGUCGCCUUCCCAUGUGAACCC
rnacentral:lncRNA from 1 species